rnacentral:rRNA from 1 species
UACGUAGGAGGCAAGCGUUAUCCGGAAUGACUGGGCGUAAAGGGUGCGUAGGUGGUUUGACAAGUUGGUAGCGUAAUUCCGGGGCUCAACUUCGGAACUACUACCAAAACUGUUGGGCUUGAGUGCAGGAGGGGCAUAUGGAAUUCCUAGUGUAGCGGUGGAAUGCGUAGAUAUUAGGAGGAACACCAGUGGCGAAGGCGAUAUGCUGGACUGUAACUGACACUGAGGCACGAAAGCGUGGGGAGCAA